rnacentral:rRNA from 1 species
UACGUAGGCAGCAAGCGUUGUUCGGAGUUACUGGGCGUAAAGGGUGUGUAGGCGGUUCUUUAAGUUUGCUGUGAAAUCUCCCGGCUUAACCGGGAGGGUGCGGUGAAUACUGAGGGACUGGAGUACGGGAGAGGAAAGUGGAAUUCCUGGUGUAGCGGUGAAAUGCGUAGAUAUCAGGAGGAACACCGGUGGUGUAGACGGCUUUCUGGACCGACACUGACGCUGAGACACGAAAGCGUGGGUAGCAAACAGG